rnacentral:rRNA from 1 species
AUACGGAGGGUCCGAGCGUUAUCCGGAAUCAUUGGGUUUAAAGGGUCCGCAGGCGGUCAAUUAAGUCAGAGGUGAAAGCCCAUCGCUCAACGAUGGAACUGCCUUUGAUACUGGUUGACUUGAGUUAUACGGAAGUAGAUAGAAUAAGUAGUGUAGCGGUGAAAUGCAUAGAUAUUACUUAGAAUACCGAUUGCGAAGGCAGUCUACUACGUAUAUACUGACGCUGAGGGACGAAAGCGUGGGGAGCGAACAGGAUUAGAAACCCUAGUAGUCC